rnacentral:rRNA from 1 species
AUUGAACGCUGGCGGCAGGCUUAACACAUGCAAGUCGAGCGGAGAUGAGGUGCUUGCACCUUAUCUUAGCGGCGGACGGGUGAGUAAUGCUUAGGAAUCCGCCUAGUAGUGGGGGACAACAUUCCGAAAGGAAUGCUAAUACCGCAUACGUCCUACGGGAGAAAGCAGGGGAUCUUCGGACCUUGCGCUAAUAGAUGAGCCUAAGUCGGAUUAGCUAGUUGGUGGGGUAAAGGCCUACCAAGGCGACGAUCUGUAGCGGGUCUGAGAGGAUGAUCCGCCACACUGGGACUGAGACACGGCCCAGACUACUACGGGAGGCAGCAGUGGGGAAUAUUGGACAAUGGGGGGAACCCUGAUCCAGACAUGCCGCGUGUGUGAAGAAGGCCUUAUGGUUGUAAAGCACUUUAAGCGAGGAGGAGGCUACUGAGACUAAUACUCUUGGAUAGUGGACGUUACUCGCAGAAUAAGCACCGGCUAACUCUGUGCCAGCCGCCGCGGUAA